rnacentral:rRNA from 1 species
AGAGCGAACGCUGGCGGCAGGCUUAACACAUGCAAGUCGAGCGGGCGUAGCAAUACGUCAGCGGCAGACGGGUGAGUAACGCGUGGGAACGUACCUUUUGGUUCGGAACAACACAGGGAAACUUGUGCUAAUACCGGAUAAGCCCUUACGGGGAAAGAUUUAUCGCCGAAAGAUCGGCCCGCGUCUGAUUAGCUAGUUGGUGAGGUAACGGCUCACCAAGGCGACGAUCAGUAGCUGGUCUGAGAGGAUGAUCAGCCACAUUGGGACUGAGACACGGCCCAAACUCCUACGGGAGGCAGCAGUGGGGAAUAUUGGACAAUGGGCGAAAGCCUGAUCCAGCCAUGCCGCGUGAGUGAUGAAGGCCCUAGGGUUGUAAAGCUCUUUUGUGCGGGAAGAUAAUGACGGUACCGCAAGAAUAAGCCCGGCUAACUUCGCGCCAGCAGCCGC